rnacentral:rRNA from 1 species
UUCGGGGGGGGCAAGCGUUGUUCGGAAUUACUGGGCGUAAAGGGCUCGUAGGCGGCCAACUAAGUCGGAUGUGAAAUCCCCAGGCUUAACCUGGGAACUGCAUCCGAUACUGGAUGGCUUGAAUCCGGGAGAGGGAUGCGGAAUUCCAGGUGUAGCGGUGAAAUGCGUAGAUAUCUGGAGGAACACCGGUGGCGAAGGCGGCAUCCUGGACCGGCAUUGACGCUGAGGAGCGAAAGCCAGGGGAGCAAACGGG